rnacentral:rRNA from 1 species
UAUUUGAUAUUGAGCCUACAUGGAUAACCGUGGUAAUUCUAGAGCUAAUACAUGCUGUCAGGCCCGACUUCUUGGAAGGGUUGUACUUAUUAGAUAUGAAGCCAAUAUUCCGAAAGGUCUAUUGUGGUGAAUCAUAGUAACUGAUCGAAUCUCCAAUUGGAGAUAAAUCAUUCAAGUUUCUGCCCUAUCAGCUUUCGAUGGUAGUGUAUUGGACUACCAUGGCAGUAACGGGUAACGGAGAAUUAGGGUUCGGUUCCGGAGAGGGAGCCUGAGAAACGGCUACCACAUCUAAGGAAGGCAGCAGGCGCGUAAAUUACCCAAUGCAGACUCUGCGAGGUAGUGACAAUACAUAACAACUCGGGACUCUUAUGGGUUCACGGGAUUGCAAUGAGGACAAACUAAAAGCCUUAGCGAGGAACAAGUGGAGGGCAAGUCUGGUGCCAGCAGCCGCGGUAAUUCCAGCUCCACUAGCGUAUAUUAAAGUUGUUGCAGUUAAAAAGCUCGUAGUUGAACUUCUGGCUACGCACGACUUCGGAAGCAAUUUCGGGUCGGUUGUUUGUAGUCAUCCGUCUGCGAACUGUUGCGGCCUUCACUGGCUUGCUUCAGGGAGCAGACCCUUUACUUUGAAAAAAUUAGAGUGUUUAAGGCAGGCAUCGCGCCUGAAUACAUUAGCAUGGAAUAAUGGAAUAGGACGCUUGUCCGUUUGAUUGGUUAUCGGAUUAGCGUAAUGAUUAAUAGGGACAGUUGGGGGCAUUAGUAUUUAAUUGUCAGAGGUGAAAUUCUUGGAUUUAUUAAAGACUAACUUAGGCGAAAGCAUUUGUCAAGGAUGUUUUCAUUAAUCAAGAACGAAAGUUAGGGGAUCAAAGACGAUCAGAUACCGUCCUAGUCUUAACUAUAAACUAUGCCGACUCGGUCUCGGCCGGGUACACAACACCCGGUCGGCGCCGUAUGAGAAAUCAAAGUCUUUGGGUUCUGGGGGGAGUAUGGUCGCAAGGCUGAAACUUAAAGGAAUUGACGGAAGGGCACCACCAGGUGUGGAGCCUGCGGCUUAAUUUGACUCAACACGGGGAAACUUACCAGGUCAAAACAUGGGUGGGAUUGACAGAUUGAGAGCUCUUUCUUGAUUCUAUGGGUGGUGGUGCAUGUCCGUUCUUAGUUGGUGGAGUGAUUUGUCUGCUUAAUUGCGUUAACGAACGAGACCUUAACCUGCUUACUAGACGUGUGCUAUCACAAGCGCACGCUCUCCUUAGAGGGACUAUGCGUUCCAAGCGCAUGGAAGUUUGAGGCAAUAACAGGUCUGUGAUGCCCUUAGAUGUCCUGGGCCGCACGCGCGCUACACUGACUCGUGCAACAAGUUUUUCCUGCUCCGGAAGGAGUCGGGUAAUCUUGAUAAUGCGAGUCGUGAUUGGGAUCGAUCUUUGCAAUUAUAGAUCUUG